GUCUAUUCACUUUGAAUUUUUUUCUUGUUUGUCAUGUAUUCGUUUGUAGAUUAGGUCAGUUCAAGGUGAACCAUUAGUGGUACGCCAAUGUUGAUUGGAGUUUGUUUAGCCAUGUUUCAUUGACUUGGAAUAUUUGCAUAACUUGUGUAAGAUGUUAAAGCAUUGCUAUUUUUAUUUCAACAUUUUCGUAUCGAAAUUAAAAAAGGCGACACA
rnacentral:lncRNA from 1 species